rnacentral:lncRNA from 1 species
AUUCACGCAGAGCACUCAGGCCGCUGCCCGGCCCACAGCAAGCCUCCGCUAGGACUCUGCCCUCCAAGAGACUCUGCCCUUGUCUCUGCCUUCCCCUGCGGGGGGGGGUGCCCGUGGCUCCCCUCCGCCACCUGCCUCCUCCCUCCCCGGGUCAGAGCCCACUGCCCACCCCCCCCCCCCCCCCCCCCCCCCCAGCUCCGUGCUCCCAGCCUUGGGUUGUGCUCUGCGUGGCGUGGCGGCCCUGACAGCUGGCUGGGGGUCUGUUUUAUUUCUGUGCCUGCCCCUCCCCCUCGCCCCUCUGAAAAAGCAGUUACACUUGUGUUUCCCAGAGAAGGCGGCCCUAAUCUGUUGUUUGCCCAUCUUACCCUGUGGAGCUGCCCUGCUUUGCUUAGGCUGGGCCCGGAGAUUUGCAUAAUCAGUAGAAAUGCAUCUAGGAAGAGGGGGGGAGGGGGUGUGGGUGUCAGGCCGGCAAAUGGGGAGCACACCUCUGGGGGGGCCCCUGAUGGACCUGGGAGGGUCGCUGGGUGGGCGGGAGAUCCCUUUGCUGGGUCUUGUCUUCCUGUCCCUACUGGGCAGGACGGGUCUCCUCUGUCUCUGACCCGGCUUGGUCCGUCCCCAAGGGCCAAGCCAAGGCUCAGAGGGGCUGCAGCUGUCUGCCGAUCACCCCCCUCUCUGCAUACGGCUUUCAGUGGCUCCCCAGUACCGCGGUACCAUGUUCCCACCUCAUCCUGUCCUUCCCCCCCCCACCCCGAGUCCUUCCAAGAGGCCAGCACAGCAGAAUGGAACGCACGCUUGGGAUCCCAACUCCCGGGUGCGCCACGGUCCCCUUUACGUUUCCCCAAAGCUGACCUGGAGACAGGGACUUGGGUGCGGGUAGUUUGUCUGGGAGGGGGUUUCAGGAGGCUCAGCGAGGCCCGGGAAGAGAGAAAAGUCUACCAAAGACGCGUCAAGUGGUGGGUCAUAGCUGAGGGCAGCUGGGCUCAAACUCUCUGGAGACCCUCUGAGAGCCGCACAGAACGUGCCUUAGAAUUGUCCCACUCCAGGUUGAGGAAGCUGGCCUGCUUGUCCGUGGGGUAG